rnacentral:lncRNA from 1 species
GGCCCAUCGUGGUGGGUGGACCCAAUUACCAGGACGCUGAGAGAAGCUGCAGCCAUCUGGGCACCAUGGUGGAAUUUGCAGUGGCCCUGGGGUCUAAGCUGGGUGUCAUCAAUAAGCACUCGUUCAACAACUUCCGCCUGCGUGUGGGUGAGGGACCUCCUUUGCUGGCGGAAUAUGGCACCUCCUCUCCCCUCUCCGAGUUCUUCAUUGGCUACUCUCUAGCUCAUCCCUGGACACCCCUCUUCAGACUUACUCCCUUGGCUGAAGCAUAAAGCUGCUAGUCCAAGAGCUAAGAGAAUCACCCUUCCCCUCCCUAUCUACUCCCAUCCAACCCCAAAGACUCUCUUAUAAAACAGCCUGAUCUCCCCAUUUCCCCUAAUCUUCUUCUCUAGCAUGCCUCCCCAUCAAAGCCCACAUUUCUUAUCAGGGUUAAACCAUGGACCAGUCGUAGCAGGGGUGAUUGGGGCGCAGAAGCCACAAUAUGACAUCUGGGGGAAUACAGUGAACGUGGCCAGCCGCAUGGAGAGCACAGGAGUUCUCGGCAAGAUCCAAGUGAGAACAUCCAAGAGAGGCAUCAGGGAGGGGACAAGGAUAAGGCCACUCUACACUCCCUUACCCCUCUCCCAAUUGCAGGUGACCGAGGAGACAGCUAGGGCUCUGCAAUCCCUGGGUUACACAUGCUACAGCCGAGGUGUCAUCAAGGUCAAGGGCAAAGGGCAACUCUGUACCUACUUCCUGAACACAGACCUGACACGAACCGGAUCUCCCUCAGCAUCCUAGACACCUGAGCUCCCCUUCUCCAAGAUCCUCAAUAAAAUGUCUCCAGGCAUCUGAAA